UGGUGGAGUGAUUUGUCUGCUUAAUUGCGAUAACGAACGAGACCUUAACCUGCUAAAUAGCCCGGCCCGCUUUUGCGGGUCGCUGGCUUCUUAGAGGGACUAUCGGCUCAAGCCGAUGGAAGUUUGAGGCAAUAACA
rnacentral:rRNA from 1 species